ACGGCGGAAACCGAAAAGCCUUAAAUAGAGUAGGU
rnacentral:ncRNA from 1 species